UACGAGGGUGCAAGCGUUAUCCGGAUUCACUGGGUUUAAAGGGUGCGUAGGUGGGAAUGUAAGUCAGUGGUGAAAUCUCCGUGCUUAACACGGAAACUGCCAUUGAUACUAUGUUUCUUGAAUUUUCUGGAGGUUAGCGGAAUAUGUCAUGUAGCGGUGAAAUGCUUAGAUAUGACAUAGAACACCGAUUGCGAAGGCAGCUAACUACAGGGAUAUUGACACUGAGGCACGAAAGCGUGGGGAUCAAACAGG
rnacentral:rRNA from 1 species